rnacentral:lncRNA from 1 species
AGCAACAGAAAACCAAGUGAUGAACCCACAAUGAAAGGUCACAUAAUAUUUGGAAAGGGAGCUUCACUUUAUAUGGUAUUUAACAAAGGAUGAAAAUAUAAGAAAAGGCUGCAUUACCCGAUAGAGAGUGUUUGUUCUACCAAAGAUCAGUUCUCAGAACACAUUUUCCACUACAUCAUUUGUCAGAAAUCCAUCUAUUAGCAGAGCAAAGAAGAAUGGCUGUGAUCACCAGGACUUGGAAGCUAAGGCCCAGAGAGGAGGAGAAACUUGAUCAAAGUCAAUCAGACAAUGCAGAAUCGAGAAAAGUACCUGGACCUCUAUGCCCAUGCUUCUAGCAGCCAGCCUCCUAAAAUACCUCUAGUUGAAGCCAAAGUUAGAAUCCUUCUACGAAACUACAGGAUUAAAAUGGAAUGGUUACAUGACCCAGGCUUGACCAAUCAGAUCAUCCAAACCCUUUGCCACAGUGAUUGGUCCAGGGAUACAUGCAUGAGCCAGCUCAGGCCUAAGCCACACUCAUCUUGUGGAUGACACUGGAGCUGUGACAGUCUGUUCUGUCCAGGCAGGGUGUCUUUUAUUUUUAUUGGAAAUAAGAUUAUCACAGAAUUGCUGGCUGUUGAUACUCUUUCUCAUCAACUCCCCAAAUGGAAAUGCUUUCAACCACUGCAGAAGUAAAAAAUUACCCAAAGGCUGUAUGAUGCAAACUCUUUCUUUGGCUUUAUCUUACUGAUAAGAAUAAAAAUAACACCUCACGUAUGUAU